UAUAUCCUAGUUUUGCUGCAAUAUCUGUAUGAUAGAAACGCUCACUGUCAGACCUUUCGUAGACUAACCUUAGAGAUUUAGACAGUUGUACAGAAUAGCAAAUUCUCAAAUGCAUGCAAAAAUAACAAAAUCACAUAAUGGACAGUGGACACAAAUCUGAAGCAUAAGUGUUGGCACACUUACUUUCAAGAGAAACCCUAGCGUUGG
rnacentral:misc_RNA from 1 species